UAGUGGCAGAUUGGUGAGUCCUCAUCGUAGUCGCCUUCAUCCAGAUACAUUGGAAGCAUUAAUGUGUGCGCAAAGUUGGUUGAAAAGUGAAAUAAGAGAAUCUGAAGCAUAUUGUCAAACAGUGGAUAAUGACUAGGAUGAUGAUAAUCAGGUGAUGAAUGAAUGCUGAACUUGAGAAAUCAAUGGCAUAUUGGAAUGAAGACUUGUGACAAUGAAG